rnacentral:rRNA from 1 species
AGAACGAACGCUGGCGGCAGGCUUAACACAUGCAAGUCGAACGCCCCGCGAGGGGAGUGGCAGACGGGUGAGUAACGCGUGGGAAUCUACCCAGAACUUCGGAACAACUGAGGGAAACUUCAGCUAAUACCGGAUACGCCCUACGGGGGAAAGAUUUAUCGGUUCUGGAUGAGCCCGCGUUGGAUUAGCUAGUUGGUGGGGUAAUGGCCUACCAAGGCGACGAUCCAUAGCUGGUCUGAGAGGAUGAUCAGCCACACUGGGACUGAGACACGGCCCAGACUCCUACGGGAGGCAGCAGUGGGGAAUAUGGACAAUGGCGAAAGCCUGAUCCAGCCAUGCCGCGUGAGUGAUGAAGGCCUUAGGGUUGUAAAGCUCUUUCAGUAGGGAAGAUAAUGACGGUACCUACAGAAGAAGCCCCGGCUAACUACGCGCCAGCAGCCGC